rnacentral:misc_RNA from 1 species
UUAAUAAAAAUCGGCGUGUUGCUCUUUUGUGACGCUCCGGAGUUUGGGUUAUCUUAUAACGAUACCUUUCGAGGUGUUUUAAGAGGCUUAAAAUUGACAUCAUUUUUGCGCAUUUUAGACGUACAUAAAUUUUUUUAUUUCGUUUAUUCUAAUGCCAAAAUCUAUUAGAUGCGACCAUAUCGUGUGGUUCCGUGUCUAUAAAUUUUUUCAUG